AUUGAACGCUGGCGGCAGGCUUAACACAUGCAAGUCGAACGAUGAAACUCUAGCUUGCUAGAGAAGAUUAGUGGCGGACGGGUGAGUAACAUUUAGGAAUCUGCCUAGUAGUGGGGGAUAGCUCGGGGAAACUCGAAUUAAUACCGCAUACGACCUACGGGUGAAAGGGGGCGCAAGCUCUUGCUAUUAGAUGAGCCUAAAUCAGAUUAGCUAGUUGGUGGGGUAAAGGCCCACCAAGGCGACGAUCUGUAACUGGUCUGAGAGGAUGAUCAGUCACACCGGAACUGAGACACGGUCCGGACUCCUACGGGAGGCAGCAGUGGGGAAUAUUGGACAAUGGGGGCAACCCUGAUCCAGCCAUGCCGCGUGUGUGAAGAAGGCCUUUUGGUUGUAAAGCACUUUAAGCAGGGAGGAGAGGCUAAUGGUUAAUACCCAUUAGAUUAGACGUUACCUGCAGAAUAAGCACCGGCUAACUCUGUGCCAGCAGCCGCGGUAAUACAGAGGGUGCGAGCGUUAAUCGGAAUUACUGGGCGUAAAGCGAGUGUAGGUGGCUCAUUAAGUCACAUGUGAAAUCCCCGGGCUUAACCUGGGAACUGCAUGUGAUACUGGUGGUGCUAGAAUAUGUGAGAGGGAAGUAGAAUUCCAGGUGUAGCGGUGAAAUGCGUAGAGAUCUGGAGGAAUACCGAUGGCGAAGGCAGCUUCCUGGCAUAAUAUUGACACUGAGAUUCGAAAGCGUGGGUAGCAAACAGGAUUAGAUACCCUGGUAGUCCACGCCGUAAACGAUGUCUACUAGCCGUUGGGGUCCUUGAGACUUUAGUGGCGCAGUUAACGCGAUAAGUAGACCGCCUGGGGAGUACGGCCGCAAGGUUAAAACUCAAAUGAAUUGACGGGGGCCCGCACAAGCGGUGGAGCAUGUGGUUUAAUUCGAUGCAACGCGAAGAACCUUACCUGGUCUUGACAUAGUGAGAAUCCUGCAGAGAUGCGGGAGUGCCUUCGGGAACUCACAUACAGGUGCUGCAUGGCUGUCGUCAGCUCGUGUCGUGAGAUGUUGGGUUAAGUCCCGCAACGAGCGCAACCCUUUUCCUUAUUUGCCAGCGGGUUAAGCCGGGAACUUUAAGGAUACUGCCAGUGACAAACUGGAGGAAGGCGGGGACGACGUCAAGUCAUCAUGGCCCUUACGACCAGGGCUACACACGUGCUACAAUGGUAGGUACAGAGGGUUGCUACACAGCGAUGUGAUGCUAAUCUCAAAAAGCCUAUCGUAGUCCGGAUUGGAGUCUGCAACUCGACUCCAUGAAGUCGGAAUCGCUAGUAAUCGCAGAUCAGAAUGCUGCGGUGAAUACGUUCCCGGGCCU
rnacentral:rRNA from 1 species